GGCGAUGGAUAACAGGUUGAUAUUCCUGUACCACCUAUAAUCGUUUUAAUCGAUGGGGGGACGCAGUAGGAUAGGCGAAGCGUGCGAUUGGAUUGCACGUCUAAGCAGUAAGGCUGGGUAUUAGGCAAAUCCGGUACUCGUUAAGGCUGAGCUGUGAUGGGGAGAAGACAUUGUGUCUUCGAGUCGUUGAUUUCACACUGCCGAGAAAAGCCUCUAGAUAGAAAAUAGGUGCCCGUACCGCAAACCGACACAGGUAGUCAAGAUGAGAAUUCUAAGGUGAGCGAGCGAACUCUCGUUAAGGAACUCGGCAAAAUGACCCCGUAACUUCGGGAGAAGGGGUGCUCUUUAGGGUUAACGCCCAGAAGAGCCGCAGUGAAUAGGCCCAAGCGACUGUUUAUCAAAAACACAGGUCUCUGCUAAACCGUAAGGUGAUGUAUAGGGGCUGACGCCUGCCCGGUGCUGGAAGGUUAAGAGGAGUGGUUAGCUUCUGCGAAGCUACGAAUCGAAGCCCCAGUAAACGGCGGCCGUAACUAUAACGGUCCUAAGGUAGCGAAAUUCCUUGUCGGGUAAGUUCCGACCCGCACGAAAGGCGUAACGAUUUGGGCACUGUCUCAACGAGAGACUCGGUGAAAUCAUAGUACCUGUGAAGAUGCAGGUUACCCGCGACAGGACGGAAAGACCCCGUGGAGCUUUACUGUAGCCUGAUAUUGAAAUUCGGCACAGCUUGUACAGGAUAGGUAGGAGCCUUUGAAACGUGAGCGCUAGCUUACGUGGAGGCGCUGGUGGGAUACUACCCUAGCUGUGUUGGCUUUCUAACCCGCACCACUUAUCGUGGUGGGAGACAGUGUCAGGCGGGCAGUUUGACUGGGGCGGUCGCCUCCUAAAAGGUAACGGAGGCGCUCAAAGGUUCCCUCAGAAUGGUUGGAAAUCAUUCAUAGAGUGUAAAGGCAUAAGGGAGCUUGACUGCGAGACCUACAAGUCGAGCAGGGUCGAAAGACGGACUUAGUGAUCCGGUGGUUCCGCAUGGAAGGGCCAUCGCUCAACGGAUAAAAGCUACCCCGGGGAUAACAGGCUUAUCUCCCCCAAGAGUUCACAUCGACGGGGAGGUUUGGCACCUCGAUGUCGGCUCAUCGCAUCCUGGGGCUGUAGUCGGUCCCAAGGGUUGGGCUGUUCGCCCAUUAAAGCGGUACGCGAGCUGGGUUCAGAACGUCGUGAGACAGUUCGGUCCCUAUCCGUCGUGGGCGUAGGAAAUUUGAGAGGAGCUGUCCUUAGUACGAGAGGACCGGGAUGGACAUACCUCUGGUGUACCAGUUGUCGUGCCAACGGCAUAGCUGGGUAGCUAUGUGUGGACGGGAUAAGUGCUGAAAGCAUCUAAGCAUGAAGCCCCCCUCAAGAUGAGAUUUCCCAACUUCGGUUAUAAGAUCCCUCAAAGAUGAUGAGGUUAAUAGGUUCGAGGUGGAAGCAUGGUGACAUGUGGAGCUGACGAAUACUAAUCGAUCGAAGACUUAAUCAA
rnacentral:rRNA from 1 species